CAGUCGCCGCGGUAAUCCGUAGGUCCCGAGCGUUGUCCGGAUUUAUUGGGCGUAAAGCGAGCGCAGGCGGUUAGAUAAGUCUGAGGUUAAAGGCUGUGGCUUAACCAUAGUACGCUUUGGAAACUGUUUAACUUGAGUGCAAGAGGGGAGAGUGGAAUUCCAUGUGUAGCGGUGAAAUGCGUAGAUAUAUGGAGGAACACCGGUGGCGAAAGCGGCUCUCUGGCUUGUAACUGACGCUGAGGCUCGAAAGCGUGGGGAGCAAACAGGAUUAGAUACCCCAGUAGUCCAUGUCUCUUAUACC
rnacentral:rRNA from 1 species